CACCACUAGCAGUUAAAGCUGCCAGCAUGAUCUAAAUUCUCUUUCUCCAUCAAAAUAGAAGGAUAGAUUAGAUCAUGUGGUAGCUUCACCUGUUGAUGGC
rnacentral:pre_miRNA from 1 species